rnacentral:rRNA from 1 species
UCUACGGGGCGCAGCAGUCGAGAAUCAUUCACAAUGGGGGAAACCCUGAUGGUGCGACGCCGCGUGGGGGAAUGAAGGUCUUCGGAUUGUAAACCCCUGUCAUGUGGGAGCAAAUUAAAAAGAUCGUACCCCAAGAGGAAGAGACGGCUAACUCUGUGCCAGCAGCCGCGGUAAUACAGAGGUCUCAAGCGUUGUUCGGAAUCACUGGGCGUAAAGCGUGCGUAGGCUGUUUCGUAAGUCGUGUGUGAAAGGCGCGGGCUCAACCCGCGGACGGCACAUGAUACUGCGAGACUAGAGUAAUGGAGGGGGAACCGGAAUUCUCGGUGUAGCAGUGAAAUGCGUAGAUAUCGAGAGGAACACUCGUGGCGAAGGCGGGUUCCUGGACAUUAACUGACGCUGAGGCACGAAGGCCAGGGGAGCGAAAGGGAUUAGAUACCCUUGUAGUC